rnacentral:rRNA from 1 species
AUUGAACGCUGGCGGCAUGCUUUACACAUGCAAGUCGAACGGCAGCGCGGGGCAACCUGGCGGCGAGUGGCGAACGGGUGAGUAAUACAUCGGAACGUACUCAGAAGUGGGGGAUAACGUAGCGAAAGUUACGCUAAUACCGCAUACGUUCUACGGAAGAAAGUGGGGGACCUUCGGGCCUCAUGCUUUUGGAGCGGCCGAUGUCUGAUUAGCUAGUUGGUGAGGUAAAGGCUCACCAAGGCGACGAUCAGUAGCUGGUCUGAGAGGACGACCAGCCACACUGGGACUGAGACACGGCCCAGACUCCUACGGGAGGCAGCAGUGGGGAAUUUUGGACAAUGGGCGCAAGCCUGAUCCAGCAAUGCCGCGUGAGUGAAGAAGGCCUUCGGGUUGUAAAGCUCUUUUGUCAGGGAAGAAACGGCUGAGGAUAAUACCUUCGGCUAAUGACGGUACCUGAAGAAUAAGCACCGGCUAACUACGUG